GGUUAAGCGACUAAGCGUACACGGUGGAUGCCCUGGCAGUCAGAGGCGAUGAAGGACGUGCUAAUCUGCGAAAAGCGCCGGCGAGGUGAUAUGAACCUUUGACCCGGCGAUGUCCGAAUGGGGAAACCCAGUGUGUUCCGACACACUAUCGUUAACUGAAUACAUAGGUUAACGAGGCGAACCGGGGGAACUGAAACAUCUAAGUACCCCGAGGAAAAGAAAUCAACCGAGAUUCCCCCAGUAGCGGCGAGCGAACGGGGAGCAGCCCAGAGUCUGAAUCAGUUUGUGUGUUAGUGGAAGCGUCUGGAAAGUCGCACGGUACAGGGUGACAGUCCCGUACACGAAAGCACACAGGCUGUGAACUCGAAGAGUAGGGCGGGACACGUGGUAUCCUGUCUGAAUAUGGGGGGACCAUCCUCCAAGGCUAAAUACUCCUGACUGACCGAUAGUGAACCAGUACCGUGAGGGAAAGGCGAAAAGAACCCCGGCGAGGGGAGUGAAAAAGAACCUGAAACCGUGUACGUACAAGCAGUGGGAGCCUCUUUUAUGGGGUGACUGCGUACCUUUUGUAUAAUGGGUCAGCGACUUAUAUUCUGUAGCAAGGUUAACCGUAUAGGGGAGCCGAAGGGAAACCGAGUCUUAACUGGGCGUUAAGUUGCAGGGUAUAGACCCGAAACCCGGUGAUCUAGCCAUGGGCAGGUUGAAGGUUGGGUAACACUAACUGGAGGACCGAACCGACUAAUGUUGAAAAAUUAGCGGAUGACUUGUGGCUGGGGGUGAAAGGCCAAUCAAACCGGGAGAUAGCUGGUUCUCCCCGAAAGCUAUUUAGGUAGCGCCUCGUGAAUUCAUCUUCGGGGGUAGAGCACUGUUUCGGCUAGGGGGCCAUCCCGGCUUACCAACCCGAUGCAAACUACGAAUACCGAAGAAUGUUAUCACGGGAGACACACGGCGGGUGCUAACGUCCGUCGUGAAGAGGGAAACAACCCAGACCGCCAGCUAAGGUCCCAAAGUCAUGGUUAAGUGGGAAACGAUGUGGGAAGGCACAGACAGCCAGGAUGUUGGCUUAGAAGCAGCCAUCAUUUAAAGAAAGCGUAAUAGCUCACUGGUCGAGUCGGCCUGCGCGGAAGAUGUAACGGGGCUAAACCAUGCACCGAAGCUGCGGCAGCGACACUAUGUGUUGUUGGGUAGGGGAGCGUUCUGUAAGCCGUUGAAGGUGUCCUGUGAGGGGUGCUGGAGGUAUCAGAAGUGCGAAUGCUGACAUAAGUAACGAUAAAGCGGGUGAAAAGCCCGCUCGCCGGAAGACCAAGGGUUCCUGUCCAACGUUAAUCGGGGCAGGGUGAGUCGACCCCUAAGGCGAGGCCGAAAGGCGUAGUCGAUGGGAAACAGGUUAAUAUUCCUGUACUUGGUGUUACUGCGAAGGGGGACGGAGAAGGCUAUGUUAGCCGGGCGACGGUUGUCCCGGUUUAAGCAUGUAGGCGGAGGUUCCAGGUAAAUCCGGUUCCUUGUUAACGCUGAGGUGUGAUGACGAGGCACUACGGUGCUGAAGUAACAAAUGCCCUGCUUCCAGGAAAAGCCUCUAAGCAUCAGGUAACAUCAAAUCGUACCCCAAACCGACACAGGUGGUCAGGUAGAGAAUACCAAGGCGCUUGAGAGAACUCGGGUGAAGGAACUAGGCAAAAUGGUGCCGUAACUUCGGGAGAAGGCACGCUGAUAUGUAGGUGAAGCCCCUGCGGGUGGAGCUGAAAUCAGUCGAAGAUACCAGCUGGCUGCAACUGUUUAUUAAAAACACAGCACUGUGCAAACACGAAAGUGGACGUAUACGGUGUGACGCCUGCCCGGUGCCGGAAGGUUAAUUGAUGGGGUUAGCGGUAACGCGAAGCUCUUGAUCGAAGCCCCGGUAAACGGCGGCCGUAACUAUAACGGUCCUAAGGUAGCGAAAUUCCUUGUCGGGUAAGUUCCGACCUGCACGAAUGGCGUAAUGAUGGCCAGGCUGUCUCCACCCGAGACUCAGUGAAAUUGAACUCGCUGUGAAGAUGCAGUGUACCCGCGGCAAGACGGAAAGACCCCGUGAACCUUUACUAUAGCUUGACACUGAACACUGGUCCUUGAUGUGUAGGAUAGGUGGGAGGCUUUGAAGCGUGGACGCCAGUCUGCGUGGAGCCAACCUUGAAAUACCACCCUUUAAUGGCUGGUGUUCUAACGUAGACCCGUGAUCCGGGUUGCGGACAGUGUCUGGUGGGUAGUUUGACUGGGGCGGUCUCCUCCCAAAGAGUAACGGAGGAGCACGAAGGUUAGCUAAUCCUGGUCGGACAUCAGGAGGUUAGUGCAAUGGCAUAAGCUAGCUUGACUGCGAGAGUGACGGCUCGAGCAGGUGCGAAAGCAGGUCAUAGUGAUCCGGUGGUUCUGAAUGGAAGGGCCAUCGCUCAACGGAUAAAAGGUACUCCGGGGAUAACAGGCUGAUACCGCCCAAGAGUUCAUAUCGACGGCGGUGUUUGGCACCUCGAUGUCGGCUCAUCACAUCCUGGGGCUGAAGUAGGUCCCAAGGGUAUGGCUGUUCGCCAUUUAAAGUGGUACGCGAGCUGGGUUUAGAACGUCGUGAGACAGUUCGGUCCCUAUCUGCCGUGGGCGCUGGAGAAUUGAGGGGGCUGCUCCUAGUACGAGAGGACCGGAGUGGACGCAUCACUGGUGUUCGGGUUGUCAUGCCAAUGGCACUGCCCGGUAGCUAAAUGCGGAAGAGAUAAGUGCUGAAAGCAUCUAAGCACGAAACUUGCCCCGAGAUGAGUUCUCCCUGAGACUUUAAGUCUCCUGAAGGAACGUUGAAGACUACGACGUUGAUAGGUCGGGUGUGUAAGCGCAGCGAUGCGUUGAGCUAACCGAUACUAAUGAACCGUGAGGCUUAACCUU
rnacentral:rRNA from 1 species